rnacentral:rRNA from 1 species
AUGGUAUCAGGCACACAGAGGGAGCUCUUCUCCAUGGGUGCGAUGAACAAUGAUCAUGAUCCCCGUUCCACACUGUCACCAGCUAGCAAGAUGAAGCAUUCUGUCACGGUUAGGCCGAAGGCUAUGCUUAGCGUCGUUCUUGCUAGAGAUGGUUUACCCGAGGUGAAUUACAAGACCUGCGCAUCUUACCGUGGCCGUGUGGUGGCUACUGCUAUCUUCUGGCCAUCACAGUCGCGUUCGUCUGCAGCGGCAGAGCAUAUGAUGAUCAAUGGCAACCCAGCUGUGGAUGCCAAUGGGACAUGCAAAAUGCUGCUCCUCGGUGCUUGGAGCAUCUUCAAGCCACCAUGGAUAUUGAAUUUGGCUGCCCUCAAAGCAGAAAAUUUAGACCGAGAUGAAGUACCUGUCAGGCAGUGUCGAUGA